UACGUAGGGGGCAAGCGUUGUCCGGAAUCAUUGGGCGUAAAGCGCGCGUAGGCGGCCCUGUAAGUCCGUUGUGAAAGUCAAAGGCUCAACCUUUGAAAGCCGAUGGAUACUGCAGGGCUAGAGUCCGGAAGGGGCGAGUGGAAUUCCUGGUGUAGCGGUGAAAUGCGCAGAUAUCAGGAGGAACACCAAUGGCGAAGGCAGCUCGCUGGGACGGUACUGACGCUGAGGCGCGAAAGCGUGGGUAGCAAACAGG
rnacentral:rRNA from 1 species